CCCUUAGAUGUUCUGGGCCGCACGCGCGCUACACUGAUGCAUUCAACGAGUUUCUUCCUGGUCCGAGAGGAAUGGGUAACCUUUUGAAAGUGCAUCGUGAUAGGGAUAGACUAUUGCAAUUAUUGGUCUUCAACGAGGAAUUCCUAGUAGACGUAGUUCAUCAGACUGCAUCGAUUACGUCCCUGCCCUUUGUACACACCGCCCGUCGCUCCUACCGAUUGAAUGAUCCGAUGAAUAUCAUGGAUUGAGGAUUAUAGCAGGUUCGCCUGUCUUGAUCUUCGAGAAGUGAAGUAAAUCUUAUCAUUUAGAGGAAGGAGAAGUCGUAACA
rnacentral:rRNA from 1 species